rnacentral:rRNA from 1 species
ACAACAGGUGGAGCCUGCGGUUUAAUCGGACUCAACGCCGGGAAACUCACCAGAUAAGACAGCUGAAUGAUAGUCGGGCUGAAGACUCUACUUGACUAGCUGAGAGGAGGUGCAUGGCCGUCGUCAGUUCGUACUGUGAAGCAUCCUGUUAAGUCAGGCAACGAGCGAGACCCACGCCAACAGUUGCCAGCUCGUCCUCCGGGAUGGUGGGGACACUGUUGGGACCGCCUCUGCUAAAGAGGAGGAAGGAAUGGGCAACGGUAGGUCAGCAUGCCCCGAAUUAUCUGGGCUACACGCGGGCUACAAUGGGUGGGACAAUGGGUAUCGACACCGAAAGGUGAAGGCAAUCUCCUAAACCCAUCCGUAGUUCGGAUUGUGGGCUGCAGCUCGCCCACAUGAAGCUGGAAUCUGUAGUAAUCGUGUCUCAAAAUGGCACGGUGAAUAUGUCCCUGCUCCUU